GCAUAGCGGGUUCUUUAAAAAUAAGCUCGGCUCGGGUCUCCAAAAUGUCACGUGCACCACACCUGAGUGAACCCGACUAUGUUUUUUAUUUUUACUUUUUCCUUCUUAUUGUGUAGCUCUCAAUUUCGGGUUUUGUUCCCAUAAUCUGCAACGGUGGAAGCAAAAAUGAGCAGUGGCACUGCCGCCCUCCCCCUAAGUCCGUGAAUUCCGUUAACAUCUCGCGCCAAAUUCAACUUCCCCUCGAAGUUCACCAUCAAAAUUUUCUGCUCCCAGAAAACUACCCCCGAACAGCAACAGCUCAACCUCUCAGUUCUUCGCUUCACUCUUGUUUUGUUAGGAAAACCUGGAUUGGAUGAGUUGUACUUGCCGAGAUACAUUGGAUAUGCAUUUGGGACGCUUUUGGAGUUGAAUCAUUUUGUGGGAUCAAAUUCUUCAUCCAUUACUCCAGCUCAGCUCGUAAUGAGUUUUCUUGGUUGUCUUUAAAUCCUCUUUUUGCUUGCUCUGUUGAGUCGUUGGGUUUCUCUGGCUGUUGCUUUUCUUGUGUGGGCCUUUGUUAAAAGCAUGGUAAUUUACCUAAUAUAUGUUUUUACUACGUAUGCUUUCUUGGUAUUUUGUAGAGAACGGAGGUUUUAGGACUUUGUCUAGCUGCAUUUUCAGCAGUGGUUCCGUAUCUUGGAAAAUUUCUAAGGGGGAUUUUAUGCAUUUCGUUCGAAAUAUUCAUAUCUGUCGCGUUUCAAGGGCAAAACGCGACUUUAAAUGUUGAGCAUUGGAUGAGCAGGAAGAAUGAGAGGCGUCAGAUCAAGGGCGCUAAUGAAAUUGGGGGCGAUUUUAAAAUCUCAAGUGAAAGCGACGUCGUUUUGAGGCAUUUAGGACGCGAUUACAAAGAUGAAGGAAUUGGGAAUUUUGAGCCAGCUAACCCCUCUCGAUUUGGCCAAACAACUGACACGUGUAUGGCUAAAGAUGUUUAAGCUAUUGUUACAGUGGCUGUCGUCCUCAUUUUUGAAGCUCCAGACAAAGAAACAAGCUACCAGUCGCAGGUGGAGGAAGGACAAAUGCGACCCAGAGUCCGAUGAAGUUUUAAUGGCAUUGCAACUUUAAUUCCCUUAUAUUUUUCUUUUUUUUGCAAUUCUUUUUGUAAAAGCUCAAAGGUUGUAAGGGAAGACCAUAUAAUGAAUUAGUAAAAUCUCUGUUUUUC